rnacentral:rRNA from 1 species
GACGAACCGUGCGAACGUUGUUCGGAAUCACUGGGCUUAAAGGGCGCGUAGGCGGGCCGUCCAGUCAGGGGUGAAAUCCUCCAGCUUAACUGGAGAACAGCUUUUGAUACUGACGGCCUCGAGGGGGGUAGGGGCAUGUGGAACUUCCGGUGGAGCGGUGAAAUGCGUAGAUAUCGGAAGGAACGCCGGUGGCGAAAGCGACGUGCUGGACCAUUUCUGACGCUGAGGCGCGAAAGCCAGGGGAGCAAACGGG